GGGCGAGUGGCUCAGCUGGGAGAGCGUCUGCCUUACACGCAGAAGGUCACAGGUUCAAGCCCUGUCUCGCCCACAA
rnacentral:tRNA from 7 species